rnacentral:rRNA from 1 species
UCGCACCUACCGAUUUCGAGUGGUCCGGUGAGGCCUCGGGAUUGUGGCUCCUGCUAUUCAGUUAGUGGGGGCCGCGAGAACUUGUCCAAACCUUAUCAUUUAGAGGAAGGUG